GUACUCCUUUGUUGAUGGAAUAAUGCAUGGGAGUUCUGGUGGAGGAGUCUGCUGUUCCACACUCAAGCCCUACUUACCAUCUUUUCCUGAACAACCCCGGGAGCCUCCUGUUUUCCGUUUCCAAACUUCAGCCAACUUGAAAUCAAUGGGCAGUGAUGACUCCUUGGCUGUGCUUCAAGUUUAAAAGGAUAAGACGUCAAAGCAAUGACAGCAGGAAGAAUAUCUUUAAAGUUAAAUUAUGUUAAUUUACGAAUACAACAACUUCAGAAAUUAUACCACCUCAUGUCAAUCCACAAAGACUACUUAAAUGCUCUGCAACCAACUUUGAAGGUCACCUUGAAUUUGAGCUUCACGGAGGGUCUAGAAUGUGAUCAUCUGACAGCAAGACAGGAAGAGCCCAGUCCUUUUAGUUUGAUUUGCUUCACUUUCCCUUCUUUUGUAUGACAUGGAUGCACUUAAUAUCCAGAGGUACUAAUGUGUUUCCCUUGUCUGGGAUGAUGUUCAGUGAUAGCCCAGCUGUUGUUCCUCCACAUACUUUUACACUCUCCUGUCUCACUCCCUUUUCUCUUCAAGCAACAGAAAUGCCUAUACAUUAGGGAUAGAAAUACCUGAAUACAUUCAGACAUUUGGGGGACACUAUCUGGGGUGGGCGCUUUCAGUAGAAACAAUGUCUGAGAGUAUAAACAUGAAUCUGUGAUUCCGACACUCAACACAGGGAAACUUAACUGCAUUCAGCUUCUGGAGACAUUUCCCUGGAUGUCUUUGCUGUUUUGAUUUUUCUGUAGUGGUGCUCUGCCCUCUGGUGUUCAAUGUGUAGAAUUAAGUUCAACUUCACACUGA
rnacentral:lncRNA from 1 species